rnacentral:rRNA from 1 species
UGGGGAAUAUUGGACAAUGGGCGAAAGCCUGAUCCAGCCAUGCCGCGUGUGUGAAGAAGGCCUUUUGGUUGUAAAGCACUUUAAGCGAGGAGGAGGGCACUUGGGCUAAUAUCCCAAAGUGUCGGACGUUACUCGCAGAAUAAGCACCGGCUAACUCUGUGCCAGCAGCCGCGGUAAUACAGAGGGUGCGAGCGUUAAUCGGAAUUACUGGGCGUAAAGCGCGCGUAGGCGGUUAUGUAAGUUGGAUGUGAAAUCCCCGGGCUUAACCUGGGCACUGCAUUCAAAACUGCAUAGCUAGAGUAUGGGAGAGGAAGGUAGAAUUCCAGGUGUAGCGGUGAAAUGCGUAGAGAUCUGGAGGAAUACCGAUGGCGAAGGCAGCCUUCUGGCCUAAUACUGACGC